rnacentral:rRNA from 1 species
UACGUAGGGUGCAAGCGUUGUCCGGAAUUAUUGGGCGUAAAGAGCUCGUAGGCGGUCUGUCACGUCGGCUGUGAAAACCCGAGGCUCAACCUCGGGCCUGCAGUCGAUACGGGCAAACUAGAGUACUGCAGGGGAGACUGGAAUUCCUGGUGUAGCGGUGGAAUGCGCAGAUAUCAGGAGGAACACCGGUGGCGAAGGCGGGUCUCUGGGCCGAUGACUGACGCUGAGG